CGCGAAUUCGCCCUUAGAGUUUGAUCCUGGCUCAGAUUGAAGCUGGCGGAAUGCUUUACACAUGCAAGUCGAGCGGCAGCGCGGGGCAACCUGGCGGCGAGCGGCGAACGGGUGCGUAAUACAUCGGAACAUGUCCAGUCGUGGGGGAUAACCUGGCGAAAGCCAGGCUAAUACCGCAUGCGCUCGGGAGAGGAAAGCGGGGGACUCGCAAGGGCCUCGCGCGAUUGGGUUGGCCGAUGUCCGAUUAGCUAGUUGGUGAGGUAAAGGCUCACCAAGGCGAUGAUCGGUAGCUGGUCUGAGAGGAUGAUCAGCCACACUGGGACUGAGACACGGCCCAGACUCCUACGGGAGGCAGCAGUGGGGAAUUUUGGACAAUGGGGGCAACCCUGAUCCAGCCAUUCCGCGUGAGUGAAGAAGGCCUUCGGGUUGUAAAGCUCUUUUGUCCGGAGCGAAACGGUGCAGGUGAACAAUCUGCGCUACUGACGGUACCGGAAGAAUAAGCACCGGCUAACUACGUGCCAGCAGCCGCGGUAAUACGUAGGGUGCGAGCGUUAAUCGGAAUUACUGGGCGUAAAGCGUGCGCAGGCGGGCUUUUAAGCCAGACGUGAAAUCCCCGGGCUUAACCUGGGAAUGGCGUUUGGGACUGGAAGUCUGGAGUGCGGCAGAGGGGACUGGAAUUCCUGGUGUAGCAGUGAAAUGCGUAGAGAUCAGGAGGAACACCGAUGGCGAAGGCAGGUCCCUGGGUUGACACUGACGCUCAUGCACGAAAGCGUGGGGAGCAAACAGGAUUAGAUACCCUG
rnacentral:rRNA from 1 species